CUGCCCCACAGACACCGCGGGGCACACAGUUUCAGUAGUCUGUGGGUUUCCCGCGAGCCGCACUCUUGGGCCAUAAUCAUGGUGGACAUGAUGGAGUUGCCGAGGUCGCGCAUCAACGCCAGCAUGCUAGCUCAGUUCAUAGACAAGCCUGUCUGCUUCGUAGAGAGGCUGGAAAAGAUUCAUCCCACUGGAAAAAUGUUUAUUCUUUCAGAUGGAGAAGGAAAAAAUGGAACCAUCGAGUUGAUGGAACCCCUUGAUGAAGAAAUCUCUGGAAUUAUGGAAGUGGUUGGAAAAGUAACCACCAAGGCCACCAUCUUGUGUACAUCUUAUGUCCAGUUUAAAGAAAAUAACCAUCCUUUUGAUCUUGGACUUUACAAUGAAGCUGUGAAAAUUAUCCAUGAGUUCCCUCAGUUUUAUCCUUUAGGGAUUGUGCAACAUGAUUGAUCUUGAUGGAUUUUCAUACAAUUGCAAAUGAGCUACAUUAAAGACUAUUAAAGGAAGCCCCUCUUGUUUGAGGGGGAGAUUUCUGUGCUUUCUCAUAUUUAAUUUGCUCUUUUUAAGAUAUUCCAACCUAGAGUUUUUGAUGGAACUGAUAUAUUGACAGUUCUCACCUAAGUCCUUUUAUAAAGAAUUGCUACUCCAAUAUAUGGUCAGAUUAGAUGCAAGAAUAAAGCAGUUCUCUGAGUUUAGGUUUCUAUUUUAUUAAUAAAAACUAAAAUGGUAC